rnacentral:rRNA from 1 species
CAUGCCGCGUGAGUGAUGAAGGCCUUAGGGUUGUAAAGCUCUUUCGACGGGGACGAUAAUGACGGUACCCGUAGAAGAAGCCCCGGCUAACUUCGUGCCAGCAGCCGCGGUAAUACGUAGGCAGCAAGCGUUGUUCGGAGUUACUGGGCGUAAAGGGUGCGUAGGCGGCUUUUUAAGUUUGGCGUGAAAUCUCCCGGCUCAACUGGGAGGGUGCGCCGAAUACUGAGAGGCUAGAGUGUGGGAGAGGAAAGUGGAAUUCCUGGUGUAGCGGUGAAAUGCGUAGAUAUCAGGAGGAACACCGGUGGUGUAAACGGCUUUCUGGACCAUAACUGACGCUGAGGCACGAAAGCGUGGGUAGCAAACAGGAUUAGAUACCCUGGUAGUCCACGCCCUAAACGAUGCAUAUUUGGUGUGGGCCAUUCAUUUGGUCUGUGCCGGAGCUAACGCGUUAAAUAUGCCGCCUGGGGAGUACAGUCGCAAGGCUG